GUGCUCACUUCAGCAGCACACAUACUAAAAUUUGAACAUAACAGAGAUUAGCAUGGCCCCCGCACAAGGAUGACAUGAAAAAAAAGAGAAAAUAAUUGGGAAAAU